UUGGSUUUACCCGAAGGUGGUGCGCUAACCGYAAGGAGGCAGCCAACCACGGUSRGGUCAGCGACUGGGRUGAAGUCGUAACAAGGUAGCCGUAGGUGAACCUGCAGAAGGAUCA
rnacentral:rRNA from 1 species